UACGAAGGGGGCUAGCGUUGUUCGGAAUUACUGGGCGUAAAGCGCACGUAGGCGGAUUAGUAAGUCAGGGGUGGAAUCCCGGGGAUCAACCUCGGAACUGCCUUUGAUACUGCUGAUCUCGAGUCCGGAAGAGGUGAGUGGAAUUCCUAGUGUAGAGGUGAAAUUCGUAGAUAUUAGGAAGAACACCAGUGGCGAAGGCGGCUCACUGGUCCGGUACUGACGCUGAGGUGCGAAAGCGUGGGGAGCAAACACG
rnacentral:rRNA from 1 species